rnacentral:rRNA from 1 species
GGGGAAUUUUCCGCAAUGGGCGAAAGCCUGACGGAGCAAUACCGCGUGAGGGAGGAAGGCUUUUGGGUUGUAAACCUCUUUUAUCAGGGAAGAAACAAAUGACGGUACCUGAUGAAUCAGCAUCGGCUAACUCCGUGCCAGCAGCCGCGGUAAUACGGAGGAUGCAAGCGUUAUCCGGAAUUAUUGGGCGUAAAGCGUCCGUAGGUGGUUUUUCAAGUCUGCUGUUAAAGCGUGGAGCUCAACUCCAUAUCGGCAGUGGAAACUGGGAGACUAGAGUGCGAUAGGGGUAACGGGAAUUCCCAGUGUAGCGGUGAAAUGCGUAGAGAUUGGGAAGAACACCAGCGGCGAAAGCGCGUUACUGGGUCUGCACUGACACUGAGGGACGAAAGCUAGGGGAGCGAAAGGGAUUAGAUACCCCUG